AUUGAACGCUGGCGGCAGGCCUAACACAUGCAAGUCGAGCGAGCGGCGGACGGGUGAGUAAUGUAUGGGGACUGCCCGAUGGAGGGGGAUAACUACUGGAAACGGUAGCUAAUACCGCAUACUAUCAGAUUACCCAUAUGGGAUUAGCUAGUAGGUGAGGUAAUGGCUCACCUAGGCGACGAUCCCUAGCUGGUCUGAGAGGAUGAUCAGCCACACUGGGACUGAGACACGGCCCAGACUCCUACGGAGGCAGCAGUGGGGAAUAUUGCACAAUGGGCGCAAGCCUGAUACAGCCAUGCCGCGUGUGUGAAGAAGGCCCUAGGGUUGUAAAGUACUUUCAGUGGGGAGGCGUUACCGACAGAAGAAGCACCGGCUAACUCCGUGCCAGCAGCCGCGGUAAUAC
rnacentral:rRNA from 1 species